rnacentral:rRNA from 1 species
ACUUAUGGCCAUACCACUCUGAAAACGCCUGAUCUCGGAAGCUAAGCAGAGUCGGGCCUGGUUAGUACUUGGAUGGGAGANNGCCUGGGAAUACCAGGUGCUGUAAGCCU